UCACUUCCUCCUUUUCCUUCUUAUCCGUUUGGGUCACCGCCUUGCCGCCCUCCUCGUCUAAUCAAAUUCGUUUGCUUUUCUUUAUUUCCUCUUUCUUUCUGCUUACGUCCCUCUCCGCCUUCUCUCUCGCGAACACAAAGGCCACCGCGACCGCCAACGAUAUACUUCGAUUUCCCAAUCGGUGUACAAUAAUAUUCUCCCACCUCCACCGUCGCCUACCUUCAUUAGGGUUUCCUAUCUAAUCAUCUCUCUUUUCUUUCUUUCCUUCUUAUCCCUUUUGGUCGACGCCUUGCCACCCUUGCUGAAGCAAAAUGGCUGCUUCUUCUUCUUCUUCUAACACCAUUUUUUGGGGUUUUUUCGUAUAUUUGUCUCUCGCACACCUUACAAUCUUCAUUUUGUUUCAGGUGUAUGUCGUCUACAUGGGUAGCUCCGACAACCAAGACCCGGAUCGGAUUUUGAUCCGAAAACAUCAAAUCCUCACUUCUGUUCGCCUAUUCUCAUAUGCUUUCCUGUCAAUCGGUUAACAAGUUUACUCAGAUUCUUUUUUGGUCAUUUAAUCAUCGAAUUUAUGUUACAGAUAACACAGAUGGGAUUAAUCGUUGAAGCCUACGAUUUCUGCGUGGAGAAGAAAAGGGGCGGUAACCAAACUCCGACUCAGACAUUGAUGGGGCUUCAAAGUAAGAAAUCACAAUUAAAUGUAUCCUCCUUCAACACAAAACGUCAACUGGACAACGUAUCAGAUGCUUCUCUCUUGCAACUUAGUCCAUCCGUAACUUCACAGUAAAAUAUUUGGCGAACCUUCCCUCCACCGCCUCAUCUCCGUUUUUUUUCUUGGACGAAGAUGAACACAGGAGGAGUUUCUACCCUACUAAUCCGAUUCCGCCUUUCUCACCCCUAGAUCUUCGAUUGUGAAGCAUAUGUUUGCACCAAAUUGAUUGUUUGGAUUUCAUCAACACAUCGACUGGGACGUAGUCAAAGCCUGACAAUGAUGUUGUUGGUGAUUGAAAUGGAAUCCCAUAUCGGAGAGAGAAGACGGGAAACGGGAGUCUAUGCCUAAUACCCAAUAUGCAGAAUAUUGGUUCAAGUUAAUUCAAUAUAUUUCAAAACUUGACUAUGAUUAUAGUGUUUAAUACAUCUUGGUUUUCGUUUUUGAAUUAUUUAUCUUCCAAUACACCUUUUUUUUAUCAGAUUGGCCUUCCACCAGAAACAUUUUCAUGUAUUUGCUACUGGAGAUGUGUUAGAAUGACAAGUCUUGACCUUUGAAUGGACUGAAAAACAAGCAUCCUAAGAUUUGUAAAUUGGUGCAUUACGUACAACACUUGGUGUCGUAGGUAUGUUUUUUUUAAGUAUUGCAUUUGUAUGAUAAUUUAAAAUCAUUAAUUUGGAUUAUAUUUUUUAAAUAAUGUUGCCUUCUACACUAAUUCAGGUACAUCCAAGUAUGAUUCAUGAUGUUUUUCAUACAACAAAUACUGUUCUCAUAUCUAACAUAAACAAAAGCUUUCAAUUUUAUAGAUAUCUUAAUAGAUUAUCAACAAUCUAAAAUCUUUGUUACUUGCUGAACUAACAAAUAAUUUAUAUAAUUGGAAUUUAGUUAUUAGUUUCGAAUGAAAAAAAAUGAUAAUUAGUCAUUGCUUUAAAAUAGGUUAAUCUUUUGUUAUUUGGCAAUCAACACGCCACAAAAAAAUGUUUAAUAAUAAUUUGCGCAUUUUAGUUAAUAGUUCUUGAGCUUUAAUAAUUGGAAAUUUUUUGUUUGUAUACAAACUAUCAAUUUUCCUGCCAGAAACAGAAGAUCUUCAGGGCAAUGGAUAAAAAUGGACAUGCUUAGAUGAACUGCCUACAUUUUUAGGCGUGCAACAAAAUAGGUA